AGGGAGCAAUCCUAAGUAAAGUGGCGCACGGGUGAGUAACACGUGGAUCAUCUACCUUUUAGUGGGGAAUACCUCUGGGAAACCGGAGACAAUACCGCAUAAGCCUGUAAAGGGAAAGCAGCAAUGCGCUCGAGGAGGAGUCCGCGGCCGAUUAGCUAGUUGGCAGGGUAAAAGCCUACCAAGGCUAUGAUCGGUAGCCGGCCUGAGAGGGCACACGGCCACACUGGCACUGAAACACGGGCCAGACUCCUACGGGAGGCAGCAGUGGGGAAUCUUGCACAAUGGGGGAAACCCUGAUGCAGCGACGCCGCGUGAGCGAUGAAGCCCUUCGGGGUGUAAAGCUCUUUCGGCAGGGAAGAUUAUGACGGUACCUGCAGAAGCAGCUGCGGCUAACUACGUGCCAGCAGCCGCGGUAAUACGUAGGCAGCAAGCGUUGUUCGGAGUUACUGGGCGUAAAGGGUGUGUAGGUGGCCUGUUAAGUUCCGUGUGAAAUCUCCCGGCUCAACCGGGAGGGUGCGCGGAAAACUGGCGGGCUAGAGUACGGGAUGGGAGAGUAGAAUUCCUGGUGUAGCGGUGAAAUGCGUAGAUAUCAGGAGGAAUACCGGUGGUGUAGACGGCUCUCUGGACCGUAACUGACACUGAGACACGAAAGCGUGGGUAGCAAACAGGAUUAGAUACCCUGGUAGUCCACGCCCUAAACGAUGCAUAUUUGGUGUAGGCAGUUCAUUCUGUCUGUGCCGGAGCUAACGCGUUAAAUAUGCCGCCUGGGGAGUACAGUCGCAAGGCUGAAAC
rnacentral:rRNA from 1 species